UUCGCAGUAACAUUGUGGCAUUCAAAUUGAUCGUGUUUCAACUGUAAAAUGCAUUGAAAUGUUUUCAAACCGAGCUCGUUUGUUGUGCAUUUUUAUUAUCAUUGUCGAAACGUCAAAGUACCAAGUCCAAAGCUUAACUCGGGCAGAAUACGAUGCCUUCAAAGGUGCGCCUGUUACGCAAGAUCAAGGAACAGUACCUAUGCUUUGGGAUAGCUCGCGCUAUAGGAGCACCAAUUGUUAAUUUCGCACCGUAUCUUGAUUCCUGCGAAGCGACCUUCGGAAAAAAUGAUAAAGUUAUGGUACCGGUAAUGAUAUGUGAGGAGACGCGUAAGACCGGGAAGAUUCCAUUCGCUUUUGGCAAGGGGAACGAAGAACAUAAUUUUCAUCAUUGGAAACUUGGACGUAACGCUGACGACACAAAAUGGACAUGCCAGUCGGGCGACGAUAUUGGCCCUUUUUGAUGAUUAACAUCGGUAAUAGUUCUAUACUUGUAUUGAAGUGCUUAUAAUUAGCAUUUCUUCCUCCUUUAUAUACGUACAUAAUGUACUUGAAAAUAUGUAAUAAAUUUAAUGUACUUUUA